UACGGAGGGAGCGAGCGUUGUUCGGAAUUACUGGGCGUAAAGCGUAUGUAGGCGGCUUCGUAAGACAGGUGUGAAAUCCCAGAGCUUAACUUUGGAACUGCAUUUGUGACUGCGAGGCUUGAGUAUCGGAGAGGUUGGCGGAAUUCCUAGUGUAGAGGUGAAAUUCGCAGAUAUUAGGAGGAACACCGAUGGCGUAAGCAGCCAACUGGACGAUUACUGACGCUGAGAUACGAAAGUAUGGGGAGCAAACAGG
rnacentral:rRNA from 1 species